rnacentral:rRNA from 1 species
AGUGAACGCUGGCGGUAGGCCUAACACAUGCAAGUCGAACGGCAGCACAGUAAGAGCUUGCUCUUACGGGUGGCGAGUGGCGGACGGGUGAGGAAUACAUCGGAAUCUACUUUUUCGUGGGGGAUAACGUAGGGAAACUUACGCUAAUACCGCAUACGACCUACGGGUGAAAGCAGGGGAUCUUCGGACCUUGCGCGAUUGAAUGAGCCGAUGUCGGAUUAGCUAGUUGGCGGGGUAAAGGCCCACCAAGGCGACGAUCCGUAGCUGGUCUGAGAGGAUGAUCAGGCACACGGGAACUGAGACACGGUCCAGACGCCUACGGGAGGCAGCAGUGGGGAAUACGGGACAAUGGGCGCAAGCAUGAUCCAGCCAGACCGCGUGGGUGAAGAAGGAAUUCGGGUUGUAAAGACCUUUUGUUGGGAAAGAAAAGCAGCAGGUUAAUACCCCGCUGUUCUGACGGUACCCAAAGAAUAAGCACCGGCUAACUUCGUG